AGCGUGUUCGAUGAGGAAGGGGAUUUCCAAGUACCUCCUGAAAUAAUCUCUCUGCACAAGGCACUGCCUGUGCUGCUGUUUGGUUUAAGCAUUGCUUCACUGUUACUGGGGAGCGAAGAAAGAAGGAUGGGGGAGCGAAAGGAGAAAAGGGGAGUUGUAUAUAUCCAUGUCCCAGGUCACAUCAUUAGCAAUGGAAACCAGAAUUCUAUCCAAGAUCACUCUGACUCCAAACCCUUCUAAGUUGCCAUGGAAGUGGAAGCAGCAGAGAUGAUCCAUGCCCAGCUCUCUGCUAUGGCCUGGAAAACGGUAGAAGAUAGCCCAAAUGCUUGGGUCCCUGCACCUGCAUGAGAGACCAGGAAGAAGCACCUGGCUCCUGGCUUCAGAUUCAGCCGUUGCAGCCAUUUGGGGAGUGAACCAUGGAAGGAAGACCUUUCUCUCUGUCUCUCCCUUUCACUGUAACUCUACCUCAAAUAAGUAAAUAAAAUCUUAAAAACAAAAAAAGAAAUGACCAAUCAUUUUGUUGUUUGCUUCUGUUUUCUUCUUUUUCUAUAAAACUUGCCUUUUGUUCAGCCCAUCAAAAUGCUUAUUCUAUUUAAUGGAAUGAAGUUUUGCUUGAUUCUAGAACUGAAUAUAAAGCCAGUUUAACUGUGCUGAUUACUAUAAUUUUGUCCAUUAUAAUGUCAACCCAUAAAUACACAAAACAUGAUUUAUAGCAAAAUUGAUCAAUGAAAAGAACUGUAGACCUUUAUAGUUUAUAGUAAAAAUACAAAGGAAAUUAUUUAAAGCAGCCUAAAAGGAAAAAUAAUCAACUAUAAAUGAAUGACAACUAAGUUACAUAUUUUAACAGUAGCAAAUGUUGGAAAAUACAUGUUCAUUGAUAAUAUCUCCCAAGUGCUGAAGAACAUAAAGAUCAAGGGUGGGCAUUUGGCAUAGCACUUAAGACAUUGCCUGGGACACCCACAUCCCAUAUCAGAUUGCCUGGCUCCUCUUCUGCCAAUCCAGCUUUGUGCUAAUAUGCACUCUAGGAAGCAGCAGGUGGUGGUUCAAGUACCUGGGUCCCUGUCACUCAUAUUGAGAGAACUGGAUAGAGUUCCAGAUUCCUGGCUUUGGCCUGACCCAGCCAUGGCUGUUGCAGGCAUCUGGGGGAGUGAACCAGCAGAUAGAUGGAAGGUCUGUCUCUCUCCUUUGAGAAAAUAAAUAAAUAAAUUUUUGAAGACUAUAUAUAAUAAAAAGUUAAAUGAUAUAUCUAUAUAUCAGAUAUAUCAAUACUCAAUUAAUGUAAUUGUACUAAAGUUCCAAUUAAAAUGCAGAAAUCAUCAUAUUGUUAGGAAUAUGCUUUCCAGAUGCGGUGGUAGUAGUAGUGAGUAUUAGGCUUACUCUCACUAUUAACAAUUAUAACACUGGAAAAAUAUGCAAAGCAACUCUUUCAGGCAUUGGAAAAUGCCUUUUAGGUAGUGCUUAGCUGUGAUUUUUGACCAGUGGAAAUGCAUGAUGUGAGUUUCAUGUUUAACAGAGCUAUCCUCCCCAGCUGUGGUACAGGGCACACUUUCCCAGUCAUGCUGUGUGGAGGGGGAGCCCAAGAGGAGCAUAAAGAGAUUGCUAAGCUGAGGAGACAGAGACCAGAUCCAAACUGCUCUGGGGUUUGAUCAGGAGGCUGGGUAGAAACAGGUGCAUCAAAAAGGAGGUCAAGAAAUAUUCAAAAGGAUUUCCUUAGGCUUUGGCUGAAACUGAUUUGCGUGUACACAGCAACACAUGCUCAAGGCCUGACAGAAAACAGCUACUACUGGGUUGUAAGCACACAGCUUCUUGGUCACUGGGAGAGUGAUGGGAGACAUUCAAGUUCUGACCACAAAAGUAGGGAGACUUUGAUAUUUUACACCCAGGGCUUCAAGUUUGAAUCCCCAAACUUCAAUACCUUAUGAAAAAGGCUAUUUUAAUUGUGAAAUAAGAAAAUUAUAGACCAGCCAUUUAAAAAGCCAAAAAUAGGAGCUGGUGCUGUGGCGUAGCAGGUAAAGCUGCUGCCUGCAGUGCUGACAUCCCAUAUGGGUGCUGGUUCGAUACCCAGCUACUCCACUUCCAAUCCAGCUCUCUGCUAUAGCCUGGGAAAGCAGUGGAAGAUGACCCAAGUCCUUGGGCCCCUGCACCUGCAUGGGAAGACCCGGAGGAGGCUCCUGGCUCCUGGCUUCAGGUUGGCACAGCUGCGGCCGUUGUGGCCAAUUGGGGAGUGAACCUGUGGAUGGAAGACCUCACUCUCUCUGCCUCUCCUCCUCCAUCUGUGUAACUCUGACUUUCAAAUAAUAAAUCUUAAAAAAAAAAAAAAAAAGCCAAAAACAAGGCUGUAGUAUGAUAAAGGUGUUCUCAGUUAAAUUGAUUUCAUGCCAGGCAGAAAAAAAAAUAAGCCUUAGCAUUUUUUUUACAAAAUGGCAAUGAAAUCCUGAUGCUCUAUAAUGCAUCUACAAUGUAUAACAAUCAAUAAAAAUUAGUAGACAGGAGGAAGAAGAUACGAUAAUGAAUAGAGAAAGACAGAAAACAAAACACUCCAAAAGCAGCAGAGAUUUUUAAAGUACAUGAGAUCUUUGAGGAUCAAAACCAUGCCUUUCCCAAGGGGGAAGAAUAGGGUAAGACUAAGAGUGUAGGCUCUGGUGUUAAGUGUAUUCCUAGGUUCAAAUCUCAGAUCUGCCAUUUGUUAAUUAUGUGAAAUUUGAAAGUUAUUUACAUUGUUUGAUCCCUGGUUUACCUGAUCUAAAAUGGGGGGAAAAAGACUAUCUCACAAGGUUGUCCUAGGAUUAAAUGAGGUAAUGUACAAGGAAUGCCUAACACAUGAGCAAGAGAUCUGUAACUAUUAUCUAUCAUUACUCAUUUCACCUGGUGCAGCCUGACUUGCUAUAGGUGUUCAGUAUUUUGAGUGAGGAAAGGAAAGGAUGACUCAGGUCUGAAUGGUGGAUACCAGCUGGUCUAGGAGUAGUGGGCAUUACAUUGUCAAACCCACUCAACAUAACAAGAAACUGGACAAAUGGAGGAGAGAGUGAUAUUCACGGGCUAGGCUCUUGGCAUGAGAAGAAGGCACUGAGUACUCAUGGUUUGGGGCCACUGUAGGGAGAAGGGAAGGCCAAAUGGUGCCCAGCCCAGCUGGAACCAUCUGCUUUAUCUACUGCUAUCUGUUACUGAUUAACUAUUGGGCAUCCCUCUUGCCACAUCCUCCUACUCAGACACAAUGAAAUUUAGAAGUAACAUGACUUUAGGAAGAACUGUACAAAGUGCAGGUACCUGGAAGUUGUAGAGAUGCCAGCAGCAACGAUAAAUGAGAUCAGAAACACUUUCUUCCUGUGUACUUUGAUAGAGAAUAAAAUCCAGGUUGUCCCUUGGAGUAAACAAAGACAGGGAACCUUCUGGGCAUGGUGUGGAACUCUCUUUAAAAUCCCAAAAAUUGGCCGGCGCCGCGGCUCACUAGGCUAGUCCUCCGCCUAGCGGCGCCGGCACACCGGGUUCUAGUCCCGGUCGGGGCGCCGGAUUCUGUCCCGGUUGCCCCUCUUCCAGGCCAGCUCUCUGCUGUGGCCAGGGAGUGCAGUGGAGGAUGGCCCAGGUGCUUGGGCCCUGCACCCCAUGGGAGACCAGGAAAAGCACCUGGCUCCUGGCUCCUGCCAUCGGAUCAGCGCGGUGCGCCAGCCGCAGCGCGCCGGCUGCGGCGGCCAUUGGAGGGUGAACCAACGGCAAAGGAAGACCUUUCUCUCUGUCUCUCUCUCUCUCACUGUCCACUCUGCCUGUCAAAAAAAAAAAAAAAAAUCCCAAAAAUGGGAUCAAACCUGAUCACUUGGAAUCUGAACCUUACUGGGUACAAACCUGCUUGUCUGCAGGUUUAGCAAAAGGCAUGAAGGUAGUACACAGACGGCUGGAAUUUAUGAAAAGUUAUGUGAAAUGAAAUUAAAAUGGCCUUGUUUGUUGCAAGACUUCUCAAGGAUUUGGGGCAUUUUGGGCGAGGUUGAUGGGCAUUCUGCCCCUUCAGGAAGGGGUUUGGCAUCUAGCAUUUAUUAAGUCAUUCGAUUAUCACUCCUCUCUCCCCCUUUCUUUAAUAGCAGAGCACCUUCCUGUUAGGUACUAAUCUGGAGAGAAUACCUCAGGAAAUGCUGAUGAGAAGUGCCCAGGCAACUUUUAGAGCAGACCUUCUUGGGGUGUUGGUCCCUUCUCCUACCCUAGAUUUGAUGGAAAGUCUUAGAAGGGAGUAUAAGUAUGGAGCUGGAAGUGGCCUGUGAAUAGUUUUAUAUGAUAGUUCGAAGAACCUUGUUCCUUAAAUAUAACGUGAUGUUGUAGGUUGAAUCCUAAAACACAGAAAAAACAGUGGAAAAAAAACUAGUGAAAUACAGUCUGAAGUUUAGUUAAUACUAGUUACAAGUAGUAGCAGAGUCUGGAGUUUAGUCAGUAGCAAUAUACAAAGGUUAGUUUCUUCAUUUUGCCAAUGAAUCAUGUUAACGGAAAGGAAAGCUAGGGGAAACUAGCUGAGGGGUUAUAUGGAACUUCCUGUACUACCUCUUCAACUUUUCUGUGAAUCUAAAGCAAUUGUACAGUUUUAAAAUAUUAAUUUUACAAAAUCACAUUAGACCAAAGUUUGAUCUGCUCCUACCAUAGUUACUAGGUAAGUGAUUUUAGGAAAGUGAUUUGACUUCUCUAAUUUUUUGUUUCCUUGUUAUAGUAGCUCUAUUUCAAUAGUUUGAUGGAAAUGUUGAAUUAGAUUUUGAAAAUAAAGUGCCUAGCACACUACCCAGGCGUGGAGUAAGACAUUAAUCCAUGUAAGGUAGUCAAAGGUGCAUGGGGACCAGGCAACCUGCCUCUUGCAACUUCCUGGGAAACCUCGCAUGCUGGAGUCAGGAGCUGUGUGGACCUGCAGUAGAUGGAGCUAUGGGGCCAGAAGGCAAAUCCUCAAAGCCUGGAAACAUUCAUUCCCCACUCAUUCUUUCACCUGACCUGGCAGAGGAGGAAGCAGGAAAGAGCAGUUAAGCUGAGUAGGAACUGUGAGCUGGAGGAAUCCUCUCCUCCUCACUCAGCCCUACUGAGACCCCUCCAUGUGCCUCUGCUGGUUCUGAAUUUGCCCCAGGAAGAAGGCCCUGCUAACACUGCUAAGGGGCCAUUUUCCACCCUCAUCUACAUUUUCACUGGUCAUCCAGCCCUCUCAGUCACAGCCGAGCGCCUCCAACAUUCUUCAACUUCAAAUUAAGUUUAGGGCCAAAGUCCCCAUGGGGCCAGAGACAAGACAACUCUGUAGACCGGAGAGGGAAGCCCUGAAGGUGCUCACCCUAAUGUGAGCGGGGAGGCGGCAGGCCUUGGUGAGCGAGGCUGGUAGACUCGGGGAAGGCUUCAGCUGAGAGCGGAGUGCAAACCCUCCCUGAGUCUGAGCUGCCUGCUGUAUGCGCAGACAUUGGCAUUUAUGACAGGCUUAUCACAAAGUCUGCAGGUUAUUACAUCUCACCAUAAAUAGUAAUUGGAGGGAUUGAAGGGAAGCGAGACCUAAGAGAAACUGGAAUGGAGAUAAGCAUCAAGAAAAACAACAAUCACAGUUUUAUGAGGGGCUCUCUUCUCAGGGAAACUUUGUCCACCCAAAGCGUUGGCACAGAACCUGAAAGACAAAAGCUAUUAUCAAUACUAUUCAUUAAAAAUGAAUAUAUGCAACACAUGAGAUUGUCUUCAAGGAAGAGUUAGUGUAGGGUGAAGGAGACGACAGUGGCAACUUGGUUUGGACCAUGUAUUGACUGAGUGGUGAAGGGCAAGUGUAUUCGGAAUCAUAGGUAGGCAAAAUUGUACUAUCUUUUCCUACCUGUUACAGAAAUAUUAUUGCUUCUUUGUAUAUCAGUUUUUUCUAGCUUUCCUAAAUCCACUUACCAAUUUCAAUGCUUUUAACCAAUCCUUUUUGGUUUUAGUAUUGAAACUAUAUCAUCUCCAAAUAAUGAUUUUUGUUUCUUCCUUUUUUAUAUCCAUUCCUCAUUUUUACUUCCUUUCUUACUGCAUUGAAAAUAAUUUUCAAAACAGUAAAUAAUUAUUAUAAUAAUUAAUGGGCAUCAUUGUGGCCUCUCAUGUUUCUCCUUUAAUAUGGUUUAGAUUAAUUACUCUUUAGCAUAUCCACUCAUUUUUCCUACAUGGUAAUUUAUUGCUCCCCCUCUCUGUCAGUUUAAAUGCUAGUCAUUCUAUAAAGAUCAUCUGAAUCACACCAUUUUUACAAAGUUUGUGUGUAUAAAAGCACAUAGACAUGGACACCCAGCCAACCUUAAUGAAGUUCUUUGUAGUUCACACAGGACUUUCGUACACAGAUUCUCGUUUGAUGCUCUCAAUAGCCUAUGAAGUAGGUAUUGUUAGGACAUCAUUUUUUUUUAAUUAAUUAAUGAGGCAGGGAGAGGCAGGGAGGGCUGGUUCACUUCCCAAAUGCCAGCAAUGCCUGAGGCUGGACAAGGCUGAAGACAGGAGCUCAGAACGCCAUCAAGGUCUCCCAUAUGGGUAGCAGGGACCCAAAUAUCUGAGCCCUCACUGCUGCUUCCCAGGUUGUGCGUUAGUGGGAAGCUGGAAUUGGAAAUGGAACCGGGAUAUGAACCCAGGUGCUCUGAUAUGGAAUCAGGCGUCUUGAGAAGCAUCUUCACCGCAGGGCAAAUGCCCACUCCAGGACUUCCUUUUCACAUAUAAGAAAUACCAUUCUUUGUGUGGUUAAGCUACUAGCCCAAGUGAUAUAGAGAGGGAGGUACUGAGCAAAGAGGAACUGAUGGCUGUCAGCCCCUCCACUGCAGCCCAGUGUGCACCACCCAGUCUCUACCUGCUUCUUUGCAGGUACAGCCUGCACCAGAAAUAUGCAGUAUGGCUGCAGUGUGAGUGCCUGCAAUAAUAAUAAAAUUACCAUGACUGCCACACCCACUCCUAUCAUAUACUUGAACCACACUUUCAUCAAGUACCUGAUGCCAUGACACUUCCAGAAUUUCCAAAGGGGAACAGAAGUAGCUGGUACUCAGGCCCCACCCAAACUCUGCCAUCAUUUGAAUAUUCAAUUAAGCACUGCCCAGAUAUCACCCUCAUGCCUCCAGAUCUAUUAAAAGGACGACCCUAAACUUUGUUAAUUGCUGCUCAUUCUCUACUUAUUCCUUGAGUAUGUUCUUCCACUUUAAAUAAAUCUUGCUUUCCUGCUCAUCUUUAUGUCUCUUUCUUGAAAUCUUUCUCAUUCUUUUUUAUAAAAGCCUGGAACAACCUGCCCCACAACACAAGGACAAUCUGUUAAAUCGAAUAUGGUUUUGCAUUUUAGAAAAAAAGAUUUUUGUGUGCCAAGGAAUUGCAAUAAUUGAUAUAUCCAAAGUGUCACAUCCAACUGUCAAAUAAGGUGUUAAAAAAUAUCUUCAAGGUUCAGCAAAAUCGGUGGGCUUAACCCCACCCAGGAAAGUUCUGCUUAGUAUGCCAGCAGGUCCUGUAGUCUGGGCUAAGUCAAUUCCACUGCAAUUUCAGCAGUGAUUUCUAAUUGGCCCUGAGACUUUGAACCCUUUCCAUCAAAAGUCAAAGUUCUCAAUAUGUAAUUGGCUGCACUGGAUCAUGCUGCACACUUUGGCUGCUUGGGAUUAGGGAGUGAACCACUUAACACACUUUUAAGGAAGACAAGUGAAAGUCCCUUAAAAAGGGCAAAACUCUAGGUGUCAGAGUUCUCUAUUCUGGCUGCACAAUGGGAUCAUCUUUAAAAGAUCAGAAUCUUAGUGGUGGGAGAGGGAUCUCUUCAUUUCGAAUGCAACAGGUGAUCUUUAAACUCACUGAAGUCUGAGAAAUCCUAGGUCCUUCUUUAUAUUGAGGAGGGUUGGGGGUGGAGUCAGAGAAACACUUUGUCUUCUGAUCUUGCUGAGGAAAGGUCAGGAAAGUCUUUACUAUGUAAACAGCACAUAAAAUCACAACUACACAGUGAAAUUAUGAGUCUGACAAAUCACAAGUCUAAUGGAUGAAAAUGACGGACAGGGGGCCGGCGCUGUGGCACACUAGGUUAACCCUCCGCCUGUGGCGCCGGCAUCCCAUACGGACAUCAGGUUCUGGUCCCGGUUGUUCUUCUUCCAGUCCAGCUCUCUGCUGUGGCCCUAGAAGGCAGUGGAGGAUGACCCAAGUGCUGACCCUGCACCCGCAUGGGAGACCAGGAAGAGGCACCUGGCUCCUGGCUUCGGAUCUGCGUAACUCUGGCCAUUGUGGCCAUUUGGGUGGUGAAGCAACAGAAGGAAGACCUUUCUCUCUGUCUGUCUCUCUCUCUCUGUAACUCUACCUGUCAAAUAAAAAAAAAAAUCUUAAAAAGAAAAUGAUGGACAGAACUGUAUGGACAGAAAAUGAUGGACAGAAAGAAAUGUAUGUCUUCCUAUGAUUUCCCAAUCAUAUCUUUUCUCUCUAGUUUGUUUCCCUUUCCUGGCUCAUUUGCCCAAGACACCCUCGGGGUCUGACAGGGAAAGGUGGCUGUGGGAAGCGGACACUGAGCCUGAUAGGUGAGGAAGCAAUUCUCUCAUAUAGAGCCAUUUCUGCCCUCCACUGGCCCUGAGCCCUGACCUCCUAGAAUCUCACUCUUGUAGCUGCUGCCAAGACUGGAGAGAGCUUGACAUUUGAUUCCUCUUUGUUAGCACAGGUCCAGGAUGAGCUUCAAAGAGGGAAGCAGACUCUACUACAACCACGUUUGAGGUCCAUUGUUAAUACAGAUCCACAUCAUUUAACAUGGGGGAUCCAUUCUGAGAAACGUGUCAUUAGGGUACUGCAUCAUUGUGCAAACAUCAUAGAGUGUACUUAAACAAACCUAGACGGUAUAGCCUACCACAUACCUAGGCUACACGAGAUAGCCUGUUGCUCUUGGUUACACACUUGUAUUGCAUGUUCUUAUACUGAAUACUGUACCGGGGGUGGGGGACUUUUUUUUCUUCCCAGGGCCAUUUGGAUAUUUAUAACAUCAUUCACAGGCCAUGUAAAAUUAUCAGCUUAAAAAUUAGCCCGCUAUAUAAAGGUUUAUUGAAUUUUGAGUCACACCUGCAAUUGCUUUAGCAGGGCCAGACCAAAUGAUUUCAUACAGCCCUGUGUAACACAAUGGUAUUUGUGUAUCUAACACAGGAAAGAUAUGAAAAAAAUGCUAGGUGAUAGGAAUUUCUCAGGUCCAUUAUAAUCUCAUGCGAUCACUGUGGCAUAUGGGGUUCUUGUUGGCCGAAACAUCCUUAUGUGGUUUGUGGUAGUAUUUAUGAUAGAAAAUGACAUGUGCACAAGACUGGCCAUUGUAAUAGGUUUGAUUACAGAAGACCAAAAAUAUGAGGAUAGAAUGAGAACAAACGGAGUUGGGUAUUCUUUUACAAGUACUUCUUGUAACCUCUAGUACAAUACGCAGAGGGAUUGUCCUGCUCCACUCUACUCGACUCUAAACAGCCUUUCUACUGAAACAUUUGGGAACAACCGUCUCGGAUAACUACAUUCCUUCCUCUGAGAUCUACAUGAGAAACAUGGGCAAAUUAUUUAUUUCUGGUUCUUUUAUCCCCUUACUGCAUGCAAACCAAAAUCUACCUUUAACAGAUCUCAGUUCUACUCUAAUUUGCUACAGUUGAUCAAAAUAUAUUCAUCUUUUUUAUGUUAGACCUGGAUUAUGAUCAAGGAAAUUGAAAACUUUUUCUCCUCAAAAACAUUUACUACUGGGGCCAGAGCAUAGUGGGUAAAACUGUCACAAUGCUGGUAUCCUUUGUGGUGCCGGUUUGUGUCCUGGCUGCUCUGCUUCUGAUCCAGCUCCCUGCUCAUGUGCCUGGGAAAGCAGCAGAGGAUGGCCUAAGUGCUUGGGCCCUUGCUACCCAUAUGGGAGACCUAGAUGAAGCUCCUGGCUCCUGGGUUCUGCCUGGCCCAGCCCUGGCAGAUGUGGCCAUCUUGGGAGUGAAACAGUGGAUGGAAGAUCUCUUUCUCUCUCUCUCUGAGUCUCUCUCUGUGUCUCUCUCUGUGUGUGGCUCUUUCAAAUAAAUACAAUAUAUAAGUAAAAAUAAAUAAAAUUUAAAAAAAUUUUAAAAAGCAGUUACAAUUAAAUUUUUUCCUUGGAGGAAUCCUUUAGGCAUAUUUCCGUAAGUAGCUAAUCCCAGACAUUUUGUAUUGAUGUUAACUUUAGAUUUCUGGAUAUAAAUUUUCACGCUGACUACUGAAUUUUAGGGAUGUUGUUCUUUAUGUCUUUUUGUCUCCUGUAAACUGAUUUACAUGAAAAUAUAACUGUAAAUUUUUUUUCAAGAUUCAUUUAUUUACUUGAAGGUCAGAGUUACACAGAGAGAGGAGAGGUGUGUGUGUGAGGGGGUCUUCCAUCCACUGGUUCACUCCCCAGUUGGCCGCAGCAGCCGGGGCUGCGCUGAUCCGAAGCCAGGUGCCAGGAACUUCUUCUGGGUCUCCCACAUGAGUUCAGGGGCCCAAGGACCUGGGCCAUCUUCUACUGCUUUCCCAGGCCAUAGCAGAGAGCUGGAUUGGAAGUGGAGCAGCCGGGUCUCUAACUGGCAGCCAUGUGGGAUGCCGGUGCUUCAGGCCAGAACGUUAACCCACUGUGCCACAGCACUAGCCCCAACUAUAAAUUGUUUUAAAAAUUCCAAUAGGACUAGAUUUCUAUGGUAGAAAAUAUGAAAAAGAAAUAAUUACCAAAGAAACUAAACCAGUAAAUCUACCACUGAGAUAAAAAUCACAAAUCAUAUUUGGAGUAUGUUUUCUUUCCUUAACUGGGGCAAUGUUACAUAUUGAAUGUUAUAUUCUGAUUACUUCUACUGUCAGGAAAAAUUGUAAAAGAUGUUGAAAGGAGAGAAAAAAGAUCAUUUCAUGUCAGGUCUAUUGCACAUCUCUGCUAAGGGAUAGCAAUGCAGUGACUCCUGCAGGGUGAAGGCACAAAUGACUUCCAGAUCCCCAAGUAGAGAAAGUUUUGUGCUUAUUUGUCAAUUCAUUAAAGUAUCCCUGCUUGACCGAUUCAUGUGGGAUUCUCUGAAUUCUCUUUUAAACUGGUUUUGUAUCUUACUGUAUCUUAUUAAUUAUUGAGUUAAAUAAAAUCUUGAUGGGUAUUUGUCGCUCCCCCUCUUCGUGGAGGAACGACACUGGACCCUGCGCUGUUCUUUUGUCUGCUCGGCCCUCCCCGGGUUUGCUGCUGGUUCUUCCCGGGUUGGCUACCGUCCCUUCCACCUCCGUGGAAGGGCGGUUCCCCCUGCCACAUUCCCCACUUCCGCGGGGGAGCGGCACACCGUCGGCCGGCUCUCUCGGGGGCUGCACAGGUGUUCCUUCAGAUAGAUGUUCCCCUUAGAUGUUCCUGGUGCAUGUUGUCUCUCUCCUCCUUUAUAGUCCUCUUCUGCCAAUCCCAACUUGGCUGCCCACACGCCGAGUACGCUGCUCUCCUCCAAUCAGGAGCAGGAUCAGCUCCUGGAGGUCAUCACUCAAGUUGGCAAGAGGCAGCUGCGUAGAAGCUGUUUUCUCCUUUCCCAGCGCCAUAUUGUGGGAGAGCAGAUGCAUAGAAUGAGUCUUAAUUCCAGUAACUUAGUCCAGUCCGGGUUGCUCCCCACAGGUAUUUAUACUGUAUUUGUGUGAGAAUCAUGAUUUUAAAAUAACUAACAUAUCAUAAAUAUUGUUCCUUUAAAAAAUUAUUCCUGAAUAUAGUUUCAUUGACUCUGGUGUUGCGUCAUACAAAUGCAUGACUGGUGAGCCACCCGCCCUUCAGUGUUCAUGGGAAUGGGCUCCUGCUGUUCCCCAGGUGCUCAAUAUUUAGAUUGUUUGCCCUUUUUCCUUUGUACACAUGAAAAACCAAUGUCAUGAACAUCUUCAUUUGUGAGUUCCUUGUCUAUAUUUUUUUACUCCAUAGGAUAGGUUUUUAAGACCAGAACUACUGAUCUGAGGGUUUAUUAAUAUUUCUAAGUCUUUUGAAAGAUGCUGCCCAACUGCUCUCUGGUAGGAAAUGCUUUUACCAAUGGUGUGAGACUCCUCAUCUCAUUAAACUCCCACCAUCAUUUAGCAUUAUUACUUAAAAGCUUUAGGAAGUUAAUAGACAAAUGGUAUCUUGUUAUGAAACUGUUUUGCUUAUCAAUAUUUCCCAUAUCAAUAAGGGUGUGGACUCUUGCCACGAAUUCAGAGAAUUCUGAAUAUUGGCUCAAACAGACCAGGCAGUAUGGUAAGUUUUAAGGAUUUUAUUCAGUGAGAGAAAUGCAUAGGGGAGUGAGGGCUUGGUCUAAUGGAGAAAGAAAGGUCUAGAGACUAAGUUGGGGUCCAUACCAAGCAGAGAGCAGGCCAGGAGCCACAUGCAGAGAGCUUUUGGUUAUGAGCAGCCACAAGUAGCUUAGUACAAGCAGCAAAGUGAAGACAGAGUGGGUGGCCCGAAGGCCAUGCUCCCAGAGGCGCUGCCAGCAAGGGCAACAAAGGGCAGUAAAGGCAAAGAAGGGAAAAAGGGCCAGGCCCACUGUGUUCUAGGCCUUUUAUCCACUUCCAAAGCGGCUUGGUUACGUAGCCUGAUUGGCAGGUGGGCAUACAGUUGGGGUCAGGUAGGGGGAUGAGAUCACACAGGGGUGUGGUGAGGGUGUAAUCUUCCAGCUCACAAAUCUAAUCAAAAUUUUCCUAUCUGCCUGCCUACAUCAGUUCUAAUUUUUUUUCUAAGUUUCAUUUAUUUAUUUGAAAGUUGGAGUUACACAGAGAGAAGAGGAGAGGUGGAGAGAGAGAGGUCUUCCAUCCGCUGGUUCAUUGUGGCCCAGUUGGCCAAAAUGGCCAGAGCUGCACCUAUCCAGAGCCAGGAGCUUCUUCUGGGUCUCCCACUCAGGGGCAGGGGCCCAAAGACCUGGGCCAUCUUCCACUGCUUUCCCAGGCCAUAGCAGAGAGCUGGAUCAGAAGUGGAGCAGCUGGGACUUGAACCGAUGCCCAUAUAGGAUGCCAGCACUGCAGGUGGCGGCUUUACCUACUACACCACAGCGCCGGCUCUACUCUUGUUCUAGUUUUUAAAAAUCAUUUUGUAAAAUUGCAGUUAAAAAUAAAGUAGAAUAUUUCAUCUUCACCAUUUUCAAGUGAACAAGUCAGUUGUGUUGAGUCCAUUCACAUUGCUGAGCAACGGCUCUCCAAAACCUUUCUGUCUUGCAAAUCUGAAAGUCUGCCCCUAGUGAACAGCUCCCACACUUCCCAUCCCAGCCCCUGUGACCACCAUCUUGCCUUCUGUCUCUAUGAACUGAACUACUUUAGAAACCUCAUGUAACCACUUCUUUUUGUGAUAGACUUAUUUCACUUGGCAUAACAUCCUCAAGAUUCAUCCAUGUUGUAGCAAGUGAAAGAUGUUCCUUAUUUUGUAAAGAAUUAUAUUCACUGAAGUUAUAUACCACACUUUGUUUAUGCAUUGGUGGGCAUUUGGAUUGUUUCUACUCCAGGAGUAUCAUGAAUAAUGCUGCUGGGAACAUAGCUGUGCAAAUAUUUAAGACUUCGCUUUUUAAUUAUUUCAAUAUGUAUAUAUACAAAUAUAUGUGUGUAUAUAUAUACACAUACUCAGAAACGGGAUUGCUGUAAGCAUGUUGGCACUUGACAGUGAAGCUGACCCUGACUUCCUCUGAAGAAGGAAUUCAGGAGCAAGUCAGCAAACAUUUUAUUGAGAAAGAGAAAGGAGUGUGGGCCUACUUGGUGGAGAGUGGCUCUGUCUCUGAACUACAUUUUAACAUAUGGGUCAUUUAAUAAAAGGGAAGAAUAUUCAUGGUUUUCUGGGAAGUAGGUGGAGAUUUCCCAGAAUCUAGCUAACCUGCUCCAUAUAUGAUCUGAUAUUUCCUGUGAUGGCCACUGGGAGGUAUGUUAUUUAGUUUUCUAAUGUACUACAAUGAAUGUAUAAUGAACUGUGGGUAAAUCUAGGUCAGCCUUAGUCCCCUACAGUGGUGUGAACCUUAAGCAGGCAGGGAGUCUGUUUAUCCUCAGAGCAAAGGAAUCCAAUCUUGUAUCCUAUAGGUUUUGAGAUAAUAAAACUACUACCUCCAAGUGGCUCAGCUGCUUCCUCUACCUCCCUGUGUCAAUAUGAGAGCAGUGAACAGGGCUUCCAGUUUCUCCAGAUGAUCAGCAAUAUUUGUUAUUUUCUGGUUUGUUCAUUUGCUUUUCAAAUUAUUUGAAAGGUAGAGAGACAAAGAGAGAAAAAAAGAGUCUGCUGGACUUGAACCCAUGCCCAUAUGGGAUGUUGGUGCUGCAGGCAACAGCUUUAUCCACUGUACCACAGAGCUGGCCCCCAUUCAAAUCCAUUUAAAAAGUUUUUUAAAGUUGAAUUUGAAAGGCACAGAAAUGAAGGGCAGAGAAAAACCUUCCAUAUUCUGGUUCAUCUCCCAAAUGCCAGCAAUUAGCCACGCCUGAGUGGGGCAGAAGGCAGGAGCCAGGUCUCCCAUGUGGGUGACAGGGACCCAAGUUUUUAAGCCAUCACCUCCUGCCCCCAAGCUAUGCAUUAGCAGGAAGCUGGAAUUGGUAGUGGAUCAGGGAUUCAGACACAGGCGCUCCGACACAGGAUGCAGCCAUCCCAGUGGUGUCUUAACCACUGUGCCAAACACCACCGCCCCCACCCCUGUCCAUUUUGUAAGAUCAUCUGAACAGUGGUCUUCAUUACCUGUGACAUCGUCUCAUCUACGGGAAUACGAAUUGACUCAUUUUCUCUUUUUUGCUUUAGCAUUUACAAUCAGAUUUACAUAAAUCAAAUCUAGGGGGCUGGCAGUAUGACACAGUGAGUUAAGCUACUCCCUGCAAUGCCAGUAUGGGAGCUGGUUCUAGUCCUGGCUGCCCCACUUCCAAUCCAGCUCCCUGCUAAUGCACCUGAGAAAGCAGUGGAAGAUGGCCCGGGUAAUAGGGCCCCUACCACCCAUGUGGGAGACCCAGAUGAAACUCCUGACUCCUCACCAUUGCAACCAUUUGGGGAGUGAACCAGCAGAUGUAAGAUAUCUUUUUCUCUCUAAGUAACUGCCUUUUAAAUAAAAAUAAGUAAAUCUUUAUUUUUUUAAAGAUUUAUUUAUUUAUUUGAAAGUCAAAGUUACAGAGAGGAGAGGCAGAGAGAGAGAGAGAGAGAGAGGUCUGCCAUCUGCUGGUUCACUCCCCAAUUGGCCUCAACGGCUGGAGCUGUGCCAAUCCAAAGCCAGGAGCCAGGAUCCUCUUCCCGGUCUCCCAUGCGGGUGCAUGGACCCAAAGACUUGGGCCAUCUUCUACUGCUUUCCCAGGCCAUAGCAGAGAGCUGGAUCAGAAGUGGAGCAGCCGAGGCUUGAACUGGUGCCCAUAUGGGAUGCUAGCACUGCAGGUGGCAGCUUUACCCAUUAUGCCACAACGCUGGCCCCAUAAGUAAAUAUUUUUUAAAAAUCAAAUUUAACUGAUUUGAAUCUACUGAAUGGUUGGCUACCUACAAUUCUAAAUAUAUAGAAUAUAUAUCUGUAGCCUUUGACUAUUUGGGACAACAGUUUUUUGUUUUUUGUUUUUUGUUUUGUUUUUUUUUUUUUUGACAGGUAGAGUUAUAGACAGUGAGAGAGAGAGAGACAGAGAGAAAGGUCUUCCUUCCACAGGUUUACUCCUCAAAUGGCCGCCAUAGCUGGUGCUGUGCCAAUCUGAAGCCAGGAGCCAGGCAUUUCCUCCCAAUCUCCCAUGGGGGUGCAGGGGCCCAAGCACCUGGGCCAUCCUCCACUGCCCUCCUGGACCACAGCAGAGAGCUGGACUGGAAGAGGAGCAACCGGGACUAGAACCUGGUACCCAUAUGGGUUGCCGGCGCCACAGGCAGAGGAUUAACCAAGUGAGCCAUGGCACCAGCCCAUCAGAGGUUUUUUAAUCUUUCAGUGCAGCCACUGAGACACAGUAUAAAACAGAUCGUGGUGCAGUGGGGUAAGCUACUGCUUGGAACACCCACAUCCCAUAUUGGAGUACCUGGGAUCAAAUUCUGGAUCCAACUUGCUGCUUACUUGGAAGGCAGCAGAUGAUGGCCUAAGUAUUUGGGUUCCUGCCACCCAUGUGGGGAAUCCACGUGGAGCUCCUGGCUCCUGGCUUUGGCCUGGCCUAGCCCUGGCUGUUGCAGGCAUUUGGGGAGUGAACUGGCAAAUAGAAGAUCUCAUUCUGUCUCUCCCCCUCUCUCUGUCCUUCUGCCUUUCAAAUAGAUAAAACUAAUCUUUAAAAAACAAAACAGGCCAUGUAUGACAAUAGGACUCUGUCCUGCAGCCUCUGCAGCUACCCACCCCAAUAGCCAAGCCACGCCUUCUGCAGCAGUCCACUCAGAAUCGCAAGGACUUGCUUGCUCCCUUACCUUUUUAACCCCUCCCGCCAACUUCCAACUCAAGGCCAACCAGAGAAAGCCAAAUAUCACCUUAGAUGCCUCGCUUCUAGUUAGCCUGUCUCCCCUCCAGCUUCCUGAGCCCAAAAUCUCAACUCAGAGCAGAGGUGAAACCUUCAAUUUUUUUUCAUUAUUAAGCUCUGCCACUCCCCUGGCAGGGUUUGAAUCUCUGCCAAAAGCAAGAGACUGGUUGGCUCCUGUGCCAUAGCAGGCCCUGAGUCCUGCCGGGUAGGACUUCAUUUCCGCACCACAUGUGUUGCAUGUCCUUUUCAUUCUUGGUUGCUUUUCUUGAAUUUUAGUUCUUGAAAAUGAUUUUAUGAUUUGUUUAUAAUGUUUUAAUAUACAUGAUUUGGAUUUUUCUGUAAUCUAAUCUACUCAACAUCUCAAAAGUGAGACUUUCCACUAGUUAUUUGCUUGGCAAAUCAUUAUGACAAUGUGGGUCUGAUACAGACAUUAGCCUCUGUUCUUUCUCCCAGUCCCACUAAGAGACAACAUAGAGAAAUAAGGGCAUAACCCCCUGAGGAAAGGGCAAAGAAAACGGGUCAGCUGCCUCCCUAUGUAGUCAGUCCUUUUCUUUUUAAAAACCUUGUUUAUUUUAUUUGAAAGGCAGAGUUAUACAGAGAAGAGAGAGAAGUCUCCCAUUGCUGGUUUACUUCCCAGUGGCUGCAAUGACCCCAGCUGGGCUGGUCCAAAGGCAGGAGCCAGGAGCUUCUUCCAGGUCCCCCACGUAGGUGCAGGGGCCCAAGCUCUUGUGUCGUCCUCAGCUGCUUUCCCAGGUGCAUCUGAAGAGGGGCAGCUGGGACCCAAACCAGUGGUCAUAUGGACUGCUGGCACUGCAGGCAGUGGUUUACCCAUUGCUCCACAAUGCCAACUCUGCAGUCAGUUCUUGUCUCCUGCUCCCUGUUGGAAGAGUGGCAGCCAGAGUUAUGCUUUCCAGGUAGGAGAAGGGAAGUCUGCCCAGAAUACUGAUGAUAACUGUAAUAGCUAAUGUUUGUUUAGUGAUUAUGUAUGCUCAAUACUGUUUUAUAUACAGAACUCUGUUUAGUUUUCAUACUUGGGGAGGCACUGUAAUCAUCUCCAUUUUACAGGUAAGGAAACUGUGCCCGAAGAGGUUAGGUGAAUUAACCAGAGUCACUGGGCAGAUGGUGCUGGAGCUCAAACUGUGCGCUCUCAAUAACUACCUUAUUAUCGCUCACUCGCUCACUCUUUUAAAAAAAUAUGUAUUUAUUUGAAAGUCAGAGUUACAUAGAAAGAAGGUGGGAAAGAAAGUGAGGAAGAGAAGGAGAAAGGGAGAGAGAUCCGCCAUUUGCUGGUUCACUUCCCAAAUGGCGACAUCGGCCAGGGCUGGGCCAGGCCUAAGCCAGGAGCUUCAUUUAUAUCUCUCGUGUUGGGUGGCAGGAGCCCAAACAUUUGGGUCAUCUUCUGCUUUUCUCAGGGCAUUAGCAGGGGGUGGAUUAAAAUGAAGCAGCCAGGACUUGAACCUGUGUCCUUAUGGAAUGCCAGCAUCACAAGCAGUGGCCUUACUUGCUAUACCACACUUGCCACUGAAGUCUUUUUUAGGAACGAUUUAAAGAUAGUGACCUCAAGUGUUUCUCAUAAAACAGUCCAUUCUGAUCACUCCAUGAUGAAACCUCCAGGUGAAAAGUCCCCCUCAGACCCAGAACUUCCAGUCACUUUCCUAUUGAUCCAGUCUUAGACAGGAGCAAGUUGUGAAGACUUUACACAUUAAGGAAGUUUUAAAAAUUACUUUAUUAAAAUGUAUUCAUUUUCAUUUAUUUGAAAGCAGAGACAGAGAGAAAGACAAAGAGAGAGAGAGAGUUCCCAUCUGCUGGUUCAAUCACCAAAUGCCUGCAACAGCCAGGGCUAGGCCAGGCCGAAGCCAGGAACCAACACCAUCCAGAUAGCCCAUGUGGGCCAAAGGGAACCAAGUACUUGACCAAUCACCUGUGGCCCUCAGGGUCUGUAUUGACAGAAAGCUGGAAUUGUAGUGAAGCUGGUGCUCAAACAGGCAUUCUGAUAGGGGACACAUGUUCCCCAGAGACAUCCUAACCGCUAGGUCUACGGCUGCCAACCCCUAGUUUCUUUUUCUUCCUUUCUUUUUUCCUUUCUUUUUUCCUUCCUCCCUCCCUCUUUCCCUCCCUCCCUCCCUUUCUUUCUUUUAAAGAUUUAUUUAUUUGAAAGGCAGAGAGAGAGAGAGAGAGAGAGAUGUCUUCCAUCUGUUAGUUCACUCCCCAGAUGCAGCAGUGGCCGGAGCUGGGCCAAUCCAAAGCCAGGAGCCAGGAACCUCUAUGGGUCCCCCACGUGGGUGCAGGGGCUAAAGGACUUGGGUCAUCUUCUACUGCUUUCCCAGGCCAUAGCAGAGAGCUAGAUCAGAAGUGGAGCAGCCAGGAUAGAACCGGCACCCAUAAGGGAUGCCAGCACCUCAGGCAGUGGCUUUACCUGCUAUGCCACAGUAUCAGCCUCCCUAGUUUCUUUUAAUUCUAUAUCCAGUCUCACAGUAUUCCUUUUCUUGUAUUGUUUUAAAAUACAUUGGUCCCCGCCUUAUCCUUAUAAGAUUUGUUCCAAGACCCUCAGUGGAUUCUGACACCUCAGCUAGUACCAAACUCUUUAUACAGUAUGCAUUUUUCCCCAUAUACUAUAUACAUAUGAUAAAGUUAAUUUAUAAAUUAUAGAUAAAGUAAGAGAUUAGCAGCAAUAACAUAAUAAAAUAAAGCACUUAUAACAAUAUACUAUGAUAAAAGUACUUCUUUUACAUUUUUGGGUUAAAGGAAGCACCUAUAGUUUCCAUUUGCCAUUUCUGAAUUGCUAGCUAGCAUCAGAACUCUUGCACUUCAGGGCAAUUAUCAAGUAAAAUAAGGGUUUCUUGAGGGGCUGGUGUUGUGGCACAGGGUGUUAAGACACCACCUGCGAUGCCAGUAUCCCAAAUGUGUGCCUGUUUGAGUCCUGGCUGCCCACUUCUGAUCCAUCUCCCUGCUAACCUGCCUAGGAAAGCAGCUGCAGAUGGCCCAAGUGUGUGGAUCCUUGCCAUCCAUGUGGAAGACCUGGAUAGAGUUCCAGGAUUCUGGCUUCUGCUUGGCCCAGCCUCUAGCCCAGCCCCAGCCAUCGCAGACAUUUGGAGAGUAAAUCAGUGGAUGAAAGAUCUUUGUGUCUCUUCUCUCUCUGUAACUCUGCCUUUCAAAUAAACAAAUAAAUCUUUUUUAAAAAGGUAAGGGUUACUUGAACACAGACACUGUGAUACCAUGGCAGUCUGAUGACAGAGACAGCUAGGAAGUAGCUACUGGGCAGGUAGUAUAUAUGUAUAGCUCAGAUAAGCUAGACAAAGGAUGAUUCACAGUCUGGGUGGGAUGGAGCAGGACUGUGAAAGAUUUUAUCAUGCUACUUAAAAGGCCAGGUAAUUCAAAACAUAUGAAUUGUUUAUUUUUAGAAUUUUCCAUUUAAUAUUUUUGAACCAUGGUUUGUUAGAGGUAACAAAUGGGGUCUCCUCGUACAUAACUGCAGAGCUGGGGGUGGGGACAAUGGCCUGCUUCUCCUAGUUGGCAGCGGUGCUUCAUGAACAAGGCACUGGGGAGAGGAAGUGGCUCUUCUAGAACUUAAACCUUACCAUCAGGCUCAGGGCAGUGAGGGUCCCAGGGUCCUGGGCUUGGUGCCUGAGGUACAAUCUCUACCACAUGGAGUAUCAGCAGGCAGCUUCCAACAGAGUUACAAAGAGAGGUAGAGAUAGAGAGAGGUCUUCCAACUACUGGUUCAUGUCCCAUAUCGCUGCAAUGGCAGGAGCUGAGCUGAUCUAAACCCAGGAGGCAGGAGCUUCUUUUGGGUCUCCCACAUGGAUGCAGGGGCCCAAGCACUUGGGCUGUCUUCCACUGCUUUCCCAGGCCAUACCAGAGAGCUGGAUUGAAAGUGGAGCAGCCAGGACUUGAACUGGCGCCCAAAUGGGAUGCUGGCGCUGCAGGCCAGGGCUUUAACCCAAUGUGCCACAGCUUCUAACCUCUUGUCAACAUUCACCUUGAAUUUAUGGGGGGGGGUGGAUUAGAAGUGCUGAUGACUUGCCCUUCGUGGGGAGAUACCCUAGUGCUGGCCUGGGUGCUGGGGGAAGAUGGUGCCACACCUAUUGGGAAUGGCUUUUGUCACUCAGAGUGGGCAAAAAGAGGGAGUGGGUCAAGUGCUACAGAUCUCACUGGCCUUACCAACCCUUAGCAGAUGUUCUUGGAUAAAUGUUUCUUCAUUUUCAGCAUGCCCUACGGCAAUUUUCAGAACUUUUCAAUGGCUUUUUUUGGGGGGAGGAUGAUUAUUGUUAUUUUAAUAAUUUUUAUUUAUGAUGAUUGUUUCACUCAGAAGAGAGAUGCUGAGCUCCAGUGCCUUUCAACAAAUCCCUUUUGCACUUUGCUUUUUUCGUUUAAUGAUGUAGCUGGAACAUUACUUCACAUCGAUUCAUAAAUCUUCCUCAUUCUUUUAUAGAGACAGAGCACUUUGCAGAUGUGUCACUGUUUGUUCAACCAGUCUCUCAUGCAGAGAAUUUAGGUUGUUUCCAAUAUUUUGCUAUUAAAUAUAAUAUUGCAGUGAGCCACCCUGUUCUCAUGUGGUGCCAUAAUGGUGGAGGUGGAGAGUCAAGGUAGAGUCCUAGAGUAACAUUGCUAGGAUAAGAAGUAAGUGCAUUAUGUACAUGGCUGGAUAUUGUCAAAUUCCCCGCUUUAAUGGUUGUACCAUAUAGACUUCCACCAGCAAUGUACAAAAGUACCUGCUCUGUCCACACAGCAGACUCAAAGAAGGACAAUCACUUUAUAUAAUACUCUGACCUCAGAAUCAGAACUUAAGGCAUUUUGGUCUGGCUGAAAAGUCCAUGAGAGCAUUUCAGGCAUGGAAAGCCAAGACACUGUGGCAAAAAAAAAAAAAGUCUUAUAUGAAGUAUCUCUGUGAGAGAGACCCCAGUGGAAAGAAGUGGUCAUCAAAGAAGGCUAUGCUUUUUUCUGAAGGGAGGAGAGAACUUCCACUUUGCUUAGGGCCUUGUCUAAAUACUGAUGGAGAUUGUGAAUUCAGAAGGCUUCCAUAACCUUAGCAGCUCAUGUCAAGAGCCUCAGGUGAUCACUGAUGUCAUACAUAAGAGUGUUAAUUGUUAAAUUAACAACAGGAGUCACUGUGUACUUACUUCCAGUGCAGGACUUUUGUCCUCAAUGAGUUAUAGUAUGAGAAUUAACUAUAAAACUUAUCCUCAAACAGCUUUUUUUUUGGGGGGGGGGUGUGCGCAAAUUAUUGAAAUCUUUACUUAGUGUGGAGUUGGUCUUCUGUGUAUAAAGUUAAUUGAAAAUGAACCUUAAUGGA